GCUGUGUGGUAAGAAGUUUGCUUCCCAACCACAUGGUUCCAAGUUCAGUCCCACUGCAUGGCACCUUGGGUAAAUGGCUUCUGUUCUAGCCUUGGGCUACCCGGAGCCUCGUGAUUGGAUGUCGUGGACGGAAACUG